GACAGGGCAACGUUCCUGGUCAAUUCUCCUCAAUCCUUCAGUGGUGUUUUACUUGUCUUUUGGUUAUUCUGCUCCUACUUGCAGGGUUGGUACCAGAGAAUAUUGUGGGGGGACUCAUGCCCUUUCCCUUUGUGCUUGGGGUUCGAGGCUGUCCCCACAUUCUGUUCAACCUCUGUAUGAAGCCCCUGGGAGCUGGGCCGCAGCUCUCUCGCUUGCUCUUCAUUUCACCCGAACCAGAAGAUUCUGUGCAGGUGCUGGACAGAUGCCUGGAUGCCAUGGUGGACUGGGUGAAGGUCAAUAAACAGAGCUUUAAUUCUGACAAGACAGAGAUACGGUGAGUAGGUGGUUCUCAACUUUAGGAAUUAGGGAGAUGGAUUAUGGAUGUGGCUGCACUCCCUUUCAAAGAACGGAUGCGGCUUGUGGGUUUCUCCUCGAUUCAAAGCUGUUGCAGGUGACCUCAGUGGUAAGGAGUGCCUCUGCCCAACUCUGGCUGUUCUGCCAACUCUGGCCAUUCCUGGACCAGGAUAGCCUGUUUAUCCGUGCUCUAAUAAUUGGAUCUCUCACAACUGGAUGGAUGCAACAUCCUGUACAUGGGCUACACCUGAAGAUGGUCCUGAAGAUACAGCUGAUACAUAGUAUGACUGCCCAGCUGUUAAAUGAGGGGCAGUUAGAGGAGGUUCUUAAAACACCACUGGUUGCCUGUGAGCUACUGGGCUCAGUUCAAGGGGUUGGUACUAGUACAGCAGUUCCCAAACUUGUGUCUGCAGCUGUUUUUGGACUACAAAUCUCAUCAUCCCUAGUUCGCAGGACCAGUGGUCAAGGAUGAUGGGAACUGUAGUCCAAAAACAGCUGGAGACCCAAGUUGGGGAAACCCUGUACUAGUAUAACUACCCAUAACCUAAGUUCUUAAAUGAGUAUCUCCCACACUACCAAGCGGCCCAUGCUUUGAGAUUGACCAGAGAGGCCCUGCUCAUAAUCCACCCAUAGCCCAAGGUGCAGUGACGAUGGCUGGAAGUGGCUCUCCAGGAUUUUGUGCAGGAUUCUUGCUCAGCCCUAGCUGGAGAUUCUGCUGAUUUAACCGGGGACCUUUUGCAUGCAAGAGCACUGAGCUAUAGCCAUUCCCAUCAUCAACUGAUCCAUGUAAUCCAGAAAGCAAGAGAUCUGCUGUAGAACACCCACAGAAGCAGGUUUUCAGACAGCUUCUAUAGGAGAAGGGGAAAAGAAAAGCACUGAGUCAGUAGCAGCUAACUUGACCCGAGGGAAAUUCCUUUCUGACCCAAAAUGUAAUGAUCAAACAGACCUUGAAUGUCAGCAAAACCUAUUAACCAGGCAUCUUCAAAGGAAAUUAUACUGGUGCUUAAGUCUGUAAGGGUAAACAUUUCCAUUUAUCACAUAGGGCAGAUCAGGAUAAUUUUUUUCUCUCCACUGGUGACCACAGGGAGAUAUAUCAGGGGCAUAAGGCUAAAGUGAUCUUGCACAAGGCAUUGCUAAUAAUUUUCAUGAACCUCGUUCCCCAAGUCUUUGUUCAUUUAUAUCUUUAAAUCCUAAUUCGGGAAUUGUCAGCUCUUCAUUUUUCUUGAUUCUUUUUAUAUCCAACUCUUCCUCCAAGCAGCAGAGAUAUGUAUGUGGUUCUUCACAGCAGCAGGCUAAGAUGAGAGCUCUAAGUUACUGAGAGAAGGCUCCAAUCUAUAUAGUCAGAAGGCUCCUCAGAAGAGAUGGAGAUAAUGUUAGACACUAAGAGGAAAAGUGGCAUACUCCAGAGACCCAGGUAUUCUUCAUCCACUUUUCAUAACUUUGAAGGGAUUCUAUUCACACCUCCAAGAUGCCCCUAUGAAGCCCUAAAGUUGUACCUGAGAGUAUAACCACACCACACAUUUAAAGGACGUUUAUACUAUACUACCAAAGAAUCCUGGAAGCUGAAGUUUACACCUAGCAGAGCUACAAUUCUCAACACCCUUAACAAACUACAGUUCCCAGGGUUCUUUGGGGGAAGCCAUGUGCUUUAAGUGUACAGUGGUACCUCGGGUUACAAACACCACGGGUUACAAACACUUCGGGUUACAAACUCCGCUAACCCAGAAGUAGUACCUCAGGUUAAGAACUUUACCUCAGGAUGAGAACAGAAAUUGUGCGCGGCAGCAGCAGCGGCAGCGGGAGGCCCCAUUAGCUAAAGUGGUACCUCAGGUUAGGAAUGGUUUCAGGUUAAGUACGGAUCUCUGGAACGAAUUAAGUUUGUAACCAGAGGUACCACUGUAUGGUGUGGAUGUGACUUUUUUGAUCUAGUGUUUGAAUUAGGGAUGAGUAACUUCAAGUUCCUCCACUAUUUUGUGAAAGGGAUUCAAGCAUCUACCGGAACUUUAGGUUUGUGCAAUUAAAGUGGAUUAAAGCACUCCUUUGCCCUAACACAACAAAUCCACUUUAAAAAACCAAGCAACUUUUUGCUGUCAUAGGAAAUGCACCGAAAAGUAUGGGAUGAAUGAAUGAUUAACAGGAAGAAGUGUAAACACACCACAAACAAAUCAGGAUGAAAGCUCAUCGUCUAACUGCUCUGUAAACAUAUCAGAACAAAUGCUCAAUGAAGAAUGGAUAUAGUCUAACCACCACAGUAAGCUUUGUGCAAACAAAUCAGGAUGAAUGCUGGAUAAACAGAUUGGCUGGAGGAGCCCUUCUUCUUUCUGAAGAGAUAUUCAAUCCUUGUCUACGUUUAUAUUAAUUUUGGUACUUCCUAAGCUUAAGGCCUAUAUUGCUAUGGAAUCCAUGGACCUGGACAUAGCAGCUAGCUGUAUUACAUAGAACCCUACCCAUAAAUAUAACAUUAAGGUAUAGAAAAGUUCUGUCUCGUAACUUAUCCAUCCCUUACUAAUGUAACUGAGAGCCAAGCAAAAUUGUCCCUAAAGCCAGAUUCAACCUACAGGCCACCAGUUGGCCAUUGCAAAUAUGGGAGUAGUUGGCCUGGUCCUACGUAUCCUUGGAAGUUCUUGCUAUGUUCAGUGAUGCUUAGAUGUGCAACAUCAGACAAUGAAAUAGCUACAACAAUGUAGAUGCAUCCUCUGUUCUCAUGAUAAAUGGGUCACAGUUCCAACCUUCCAGAAAUCUUUGGUCUCUUAAGGUAACAACGUAUUGGUCAGCUGCUAGUUUCAGAUACUGCUGUUAUUCUUUGGGCAGAAUCACUAUCAAGUGUAUUUUAUGGGUUGCUUGCAGGAAACUGGCAUCUUCUAAAAUACUAGAACACAGCUGUUCUGUCACCGUUAGGUUUAGAAGCCUUUCAUGAAAAAGGAUCUGAUAAAACAUUUCUUUUAGAUGGUGACAGUGGCUUUAUUGAGACUGCACAGUGCUUUGAAGGGGGGGGGGGAAGCCUAGGUGUGCAGACCAGAAAGAGGAAACUGCAGCAAAUUUGUGCAGCAAGAAAGGGAAGGGCAGGAAAGCCUUAGAAAGCUGUAGCUGUGACAACUGUAAGCCUGGUUUUGUGCUAGCAUGUCUGCUCCUUAAGCUACAGUGGUGCCCCGCAAGACGAAUGCCUCGCAAGACGAAAAACUCGCUAGAGACGAAUUUCCCUAUGGGCUUGCUUCGCAAGACAAAACGUCUUGCAAGUUCUUGCGAGUUUGUUUCCUUUUUCGCUAAGCCGCUAAGCCGUUAAUAGCUGCUAAUAGCUGCUAAGCCGCUAAUAGCUGUGCUUCGCAAGACGAAAAAACUGCAAGACGAAGAGACUCGCGGAAUGGAUUAAUUUCGUCUUGCGAGGCACCACUGUAGUUUGAAAAUGAGUGCACAGAGGCAACUUCAGGGUGUGGUAACAAAUCAACUUAGCCUGACUGUUUCAUUGGGGCCCUUUGAGCAAUGCAUAUUUAUGAGCUAAACAACCCUAAAAAACCAUUGAGAAGAAUUGCUGAUUGGUCAUUGGAAAUCUUAUCCAAGCUAAGCAUUGUGCUUAAACCUAUCAUAGCGACAGCUGCAUAGACACGGUUUAGAAGCUGGCAGACUUAUGUGUGUUCAUGCAAGUCGAGUUAACAUUGUGCUUGCUGGAAAACGCCUUACCUUGUAUUAAUUGUUUUGCUACUGGCUAGCUCAAGAUGAGGGUGAAGAUUUACACCUAUUUUGGCUCCUUUUGUGUGGAAUGCCAUCUCCCAGCUGCUUUAGGUUACUGAGAUAAUUUUACUACUUGAGGGCUGCAGUUAUCGGUCUUAUGCAUCCUAUUUAUCAAUGAAGACCAGUUCCCCAGCAAAAAUCUGCAUCGCUAUCGUACGGUCAACACUCCGCAUAAGACCCUCUUUUUCGUCACAGUGCCUAAAAACACACUGACCAGACAAUUGGGUUGUGGCAGCUGAUUUGAUAUAAAUCAGAACUGUUACGCACACCUUGCACUCACAGUAUGUUCUGUAGGUACAUGUUGUUUCUUACAGGACGGCAAGUUCUAACUUUGCAGCUUUUUAAAUAUGUGCAGUCCUGGUCCACCAACCUGGAGUUGUCUUGAUCUAACUGAAGAUAAUUCCAUUAACUUUAAACUAUUGCAAACCUACGCAUACUUAUUUGGAACGGAAUACAAAAGAAUGUGAGAGCAGUUGGGUUGCAUCAGACCAAAGGCCUAUCUAUUCUAUCUGGUCCCACAAUGGGACUACUAGGUGCAAAUGGGAAACUCGCAAGGAGGACGCCAAAUGCAACAGCACACUUCAGCCCUUGUUUCCCAGCAUAUUGCCUCUGGUACUAGUGGCAAUAUAAAGCCACCAUUCCUAGUAGCCAUUGAUACGACUUAUCUUCCAUAAAUUUGUCUAAUCACCUUUGACAGCUGUCCAAUUUGACAGCUACCAUUACAUCCUGCAGCAAAUAAUUUAACUUAUCUGUAUGCUACAUGAAAAAGUAUUUUUUUUUUUGCAGUCCUCAAUCUCCCCAACAUUUAGUUUCAUUGGAUGAUCCCAUGUUCCAGAAAUAGGAGAGGGAGAUUUUCCCCCCUCCCCAUCCGUUUUCUCCACACUUUUACAGAUCUCAGCCACACACCCCUUCGUUUACUUCACUUUUUUCUUAGUUAAAAAAGUACCAAGCAUUGUAACUUUUCCUCAUAGGGUAGUUAUGUUCAGGCAGGACUGGACUGGGCUGAGGAUCAGAGUGGAAAUUUGCAAUUGCUCCUUUCUUGGUUUACUCCUUGGUAAACAACAACUACGACAAGCCUCAAAGGUAAACACAUGCAUAAUUCCUUCCAAGCUCUGGGCCUCCAACUUUAAACUUGACGAUAGACACAAGGUGUAUUAAAUAUUUAUUUACUAUGUAUAGUUUCUAUGUGUCUGCUUACAUCAGGGUAACAGUCGCCCAGAGGUGGGAAGUGAAACCGUGCUGCCCCAGAGGGGUCAAGGCUGGUUACGGCCUCCUGCAUUGGCCUGGGUACUGCGGCAUGCUCAGAUACCCUCUUGUUUUGAUUAAUACCUCAUACAAUCCAGGGACCGAGACCUGCUAUUUGAAACAAACUCUUGCUCAAACGUCACCUUACUUGCUUGCUUUCCCAGCCACCUCAACUCACCCCUAACAUGCUAUUCCACCACCUUAGCACAUUCCCACUGAGGGGGUGUGUUACAAACUGCUUCCCAUUCAUGGGAGGAAGGAAGACUAAAUAUCUAAUAAACGUAUCCUCUCCUAGCUUCUAUAGGCACCCUACAAUUCAGAUAACCCCCUUCUGACUUUUCUGAGGGCAUUUCGCUUUGCUCGCUAUCCCUUACCCCACCCAUCCCGCUGAGUGACCCUAAUAAGGCCAUUUCCUUGAACCCACCUAAGCUGCCUAUUGCAGGUCUGCAGGGCAGGACAACCUGCUUGGCUCCCCUCUUUCUACCGGGGUCCUCAGGUUUCCUCGAACUCCAGGCACACCCAUUCCCCUCCCCUCCUUUUCUCCCCACCCCGCCCGCCCGCCUUCACGACCCCCUCCCCGUCGAGGGCAGCGCGCCGCUUGGGACGGGGCACGCGCCCUCCCCCCUCCCGCCCCAUUCCUUUCUCUCUCCCUCCCGCUUCCUCCCCCAAACUCGCUCCCCCAGGUGCUCCCUCCGCCUCUCCCCGGGGUGGGCGUGGCCGUGCUGCUGGCUGCGCCCCACCCCUUUUCUCUCUUUCUCUCUCUGCCUGAGAGAGAGAGAGAGAGAGAGAAGAGAGAGAGAGAGAGAGACUCCUUGGCGCGGAGCAGCGACAGCAGCCGUGACCUCCGACCCCGCCCUCCGCCAGCCAAUAAGAGCGCAGCUCGUCUCCGAACCCAAAAUUUCCACGUCGGCAAAAGUCAAGAUGGAGCGGGGCUCGCGGGAGCCGGGCGCGAGCGAGCGAGCAGCGGCAGCAGGAGGAGCAGGAUGAGGAGGAAAGGGAGAGCGGCAGGCGGCGGCGAGGCGGAGGAGGACGGAGGGAGGCAGGCAGGCAGGCAGGCAGCGGGGUGGGGUGCGGUGCGGUGCGGUGCAGGCAAGCAAGCAAGCAGGAGGAAGAGGCGGCGGCUGCUGCUGCCGCCGUUGCAACCCCGGAGUGGGAAGUGGGGGCGCUGCCUCCGCCAGCAGCUGCGGCCAAGAUGCGCCGCCGCUCGGCGCUACACCAGCCCCUUCCCCUCACUCCCGCGCUGGGGUUUGUGAAUGGGGGGGAGGGACGACGCCCGGCCCUUCCCUCCCUCCCUUUUUGCACCGGGGGCCGCUGCAGCUGGCAAGGACCUGUUGCAUUGGGAGCUGCUCCAGGUGCAAAAGGGGGCGAGGUGUGUGUUGGGGGGGGGCACACGACGGAAUUGCUUGCCAUGUCGACGCCGCCUCCUCUGCACCUUCGCAUGGCUGGGGGGGGGGGGGCGGCUCGCUUCCCUCUUGCACGGGCAGGGCUCUCUUGCCUGCGACGCCGCCUCCGCUUUGCCGUGCAUGCUCGCAGCCGGGCUGGGUGGGUGGGUGGCGGAGGCUGCUGCCUUCGGGGGCGUCGCGCCCGGGCUCGUGCAUAUCCGGAUCCGUUCGCGGAACAAGACAGGUGGGCUUCCCCCCUCCCAGGACCAGGCUGCAGAACCUUGCAUAUAAGGGGGUUGGUUUCUCUCGGGCGUCGCUUGGUGCAAAGAGGGUGUUUUAAUGCUCCGGGUGGGUGUGUUGUGGGGCAGCAUUGGUAAGCUUGCAUGUGCAGCGUGUGCAUUGUACAUGGACGAUAUAUGUAGACGUGGCCUUCUGUGAUCUUCCCUAGUAGCGCUUUGCUGCCUCCACCCUUUUUUUUAAGGCAGUCCCUGUAAUAGGUGCCUGGUGUCCUGUCUUCAGCAUAUGGGGAAUGGGCUUUGCCCCUGCCUUGUCAUCUUUUGUUUUCCAGCUGCCCCUUAUUCCUCAGCUGGUUGGGGGUGGGGGAGUAAGCUGCCAACCUGGGCUGUGCUUUAAAGGAAGCUUUCCCCCUCCCCCAAUGGUGCCAAGUUGAAGAGUACCUAAGGAUAGGCCCCUGCUUGCAGCUGGGAAUCCAGCUGGUGACAAAUUCCUUUCUCUCUGUGGUUUUCAGAUCUGUUUCUUGGGACCCCCCAAACUGGAAUAUGCUAUCUAGGAACAGGAGCCUGCUAAAUACCAAGUUCUGGCUCCUUGGGUUACCUAAUUGUAUAUAAGUGGCUUGCUUGUUGUCUUAACCGCAUCUCUUAAUUCCUUCAUCCUCCUCUUAUUUGGCAAGAAAAGGAUGCCUUGCAGUUGACGAAACUCCCUUUAGUGGAGAAAAAGAAGAUUUGGCCUUUGGAAGCAAAGUUCUGUGACACUCAGACUCUGAUUAUGAUAGAAGUCAGUGCACUACAGAACUUUGUCUCCAGGGGCUGCAGCAGCCAAGGAGUUAAUGCAGCACUCCUGAAACCCAGGUGGACACGUCACUACAAGCUGCUUCCAACAGGGUGGGAUGGGAGGGCUUGAAAGCAAAUGGGCUGGAAGAGGUGGCACUACUCAGAGUGGUUAUGCAAAAGCACCAGACUGUAUGCCUGUGUUUAAAUAAAGCCUUUGCUCUUUUGAAGAUUGUGGCCUCCUAGUUUCUGAAAGCUGAAAUAGCACAACAUCUGGAUAUUUAAAUGUGCUGUUUUACUGAAUGGGGAAAGGUGAAUGAUACGCUGAGACUAGCUGAGAGCUCUCUUAAUGUCACAAUAAAGUUGGUUUUUAAGGUGCCACAAUGUAAAUGCUAAUAACUGUGCUGGCUGUUGUGUUCUGUAAAAUAACCUGUUUUUUCUAAAUGCCACUGUAAAAAUUGCUUUGCUAAAUAUACUAAUAUUCUAAAGGAACUAACAGUAGCCUUUCUUACCUAGUCUUUGAACUUGUCAUGUAGUUCAGAUACUAGGUAAUAAAGGCUACAGGCAGUGCACCACUUUGAUGGGGCUUGAACAGUUUCUGUAGCACUACCUAAGCUACACUCCUAGACUCACUUGGAAGUAAGUUGCAUAGAACUUGGUGAAACUUAGAUUCAUAGGUGGGAUCAUGCCACAAGUUCAUUAUGCUUGCUAUUUUUCUGGAAUACUUAAUAUGUACCAGAUUUUUGCUUUCUUAACAUCACCCCUUAAUUGUAAGAAGGUUUUUAAAGAGUAAAAUUUAAUAUGAAAGCUUUUGUUCAGGGUAUAGUAGUAUGUUGCCACAUAUUAGACUUGUUGGAGUAGGUAUUGCUGUCUUAUAGUAAAGGGGCUUUGGAAAAUUGAUCAGGGUCUAAAUCAGGUAACAUUUUUUUUUUUAUAGACAGAAUAUAUUUGAAGAGUGUAAUAUCUGUAAAAUUCAAAAUCCUUUUUUAAUAAAGGUAAACGUUUUAGUAAGAACACAACUGAUAGUGUGCCUGAAUAGAAGCUGUAGUAAUACGUUAUUGAAAAUACAAUUAAGCAUGUUAACCACUAGACACUUUGGCUGAAAGAUGUUUCCUCAAACUUUAGUAUAACGUUAACCUAAAAUGUUAGUUCUGAAAUGAAACAUGUCCUUAAGACUUAAGUUUUUCCAUAAUUAAGCAACCUUUCACUUCCAACGUGGAGACUUACUGAGAUUUGGCAAUAGCAAAAGUAGUUACUCUGUCAGCCAAGCUGGGGGGAGGGUAAAGUAAUUUUUAGCCAUAAUAGAAAACUUUACUGACCCUGACCCUUUUCCAUCUGCAAGACCGUCUUUUAUAGCCCAUUUCAUGCAAACUUUGGUAGAGGGGAUGUUGGAGACUUACUUUUGCUGAAUAUCUCUACACCAAUUGUUUUCUGCUUUGAAACUUUUUUCAGAGGAGCAGCAAUGUUUGUUUUUACUGCACCAAACAGUAUUGUGUUGCCUUAAAGAUUUACAAACUCAUUUUGGCACAAGCUUCCCUGGGGCUACAGUCCACUUCUUCAGAUGAUGCUGUGAGGAUCUGUGCACAUGGUUCAGGGAUGGCGGGCUUAUAUACCAUCCCUGCAACCCAGGAUGUUGCAGGUAGGUUCAUGUGGACUGUAAUCCAAAAAAACCCUAUGCCAACAGUUUAUUGCUUAGUACUUUAGGUGGUGCAAGACUUUUUGUUUAUGCUUUGAGUGUGGCUUAUAUCAAAUUUUGCAACAUCUUGAAACAUAAGACUAUGUAGAAACACUUCUUACAAUUAAAGUUCCACUAUUUGCCUAACAUCUGCUUCAAGCUCUUCGAAUUCCAAAAUGGGCACCCACUUCGACUCUUGCAAUGGAAGCCUUGCUCAGAACCAGCAGCCCUCUAUAAAACAGUGUAAGAACAAAUGCAACAUUUGAAGCAAGAUCUCCAGCAUUGAAUCAGCUCCAUAGAUUUGAUGCAUUUUCAAUGUUGCAUUUAAGAGAACCUCCCAUUUACUUUUUUGGGAUAAGUGCAGGAUGUGACUUUUGAACAGCGCUUAAAAUCCUGACCUGGUAAUUUGCUAGAAAACUCAGUUGUUUGCUUAUGCCAUUGCAGAUGUUUUUAACAAUAGCUCACACUAUUGGGUGCUGCUUCCAGUUUUGGUGUGCAUGUUGAAACCUUAAGUGUGUGUGUUUUACUUUCUCUAAACUGCACCUUCUAAUGCAUUUAUUGGGUAACUUCAAUAAAGCGUGUGGAACUUGUCCUCUGGCGCAAGUGGUUUGAGGAGUGCAGCUUGCACCUCUCAAGCAGAACAUUUUCCAGGCGCUGAUCAACUGUGCAAACAUGGUUUGGCCUUGUACUGGUGCAGCAGUUGGUAAAAUGCAUGUCAUUCAUCUGCUCCUUUCCCACAAUGUGUUUACCUUAGCAGGUCAUGUGGUACAUUUGCCAGAUUUAGAAAUAUGCUUAAAGGGGCAUUUUGAUUAAAUGUUAAUAGCAGGAAGCUGUUUGAUCUUAAGGCAGACCUGGAAAAGCCUUGAAACCCAGCUCAAAAUUUCGGUGGCAUACUUUUAAAGGUAUACCUUUUCUUAGAAUAAUCCAAAGAUCUUGAUAGUUUGCUAAUUCAGUCUGCAUCAUGCAAGAACAAUUCUCUGGUAAUAACCAAACUGUUUUAAAGCAUUUGAUUUCCCACCGCAACCCCCCCCCCCCCGCCCCGAUAUCAGAACUAGAUGCAAAGGGCCAUUUUGCCUUUAAAAAACAAAUAGCAUGUCACUCCAUUCUAAGGCACUUAGCAGAUUUUGCAUUACAGCUGCAUCAAAAUAUUCCCCUUUCCUCAGAACGGUCCCCCCCCCCCCAUUUUGGGUCAUCUAAUACCAUGCUCCUUUUGGGCUUUCUCUGGUGCGUUUAUCCAAUGGAUUUUAGCAGGACUUGCUUCGUGUAGGUAUGCAUGGUACCCAUAAAAGCAAAACAGUACAUAGCAAUAAUGCAUAGCAUGUGGUGAAGUGCCCCCAGUGUUAGAUGCGUUUCACAUCCCUUAUUGUAUUGUAAUCCUCACAAGCAGCCCUGUAAAGAAAGGCAAGCAUUGUCCCCAUGUGGUGGGUGUAAGUGGUUUUCCUAAGACCACUAUUAAUUGAAUGGUAGAGCGAUAUUUCACUUGGGGACAAUAGGAUUUGUAGCUCAGUCUCUUGGCUGAUAUACCAGUGUUUGAAGACUUGUCUAGUUCUUUCUCCCUUUCCAUGUGUGACAGCUCUGAGCUCAUUUCACAGUUAUACAGAUUGUUAUAGAACUAUAUAGUUUAGUGGCGCUUUGAGUUUAAAAAAUAAACUGGUUUCUCUCCCAACCCCAGAAUGCAAUAUCAAGUUGUGUUCGGAGUACCUUUUAAGUCAACAGUGCUUUGGACUGUGAAGCAUCUAGCAACAUUUGCAAGUCCUUUUACAUUGUAGAAAGAGAACGACCACUAUUAAAACAGCAUAUUUGGACACCUGAGAACUUAGUACGUAAAGUUUAAUUGACAGCAAGCUUUGAAUAGGGGCAGUGACUUGCUGGUGUGGUAGUAACAAAGUGGGCAGAGACCUAAGGUUGUAUAUCAGGUGUGGAUGACCUUUGGCUUUCCAGAUGUUGCAGAACUAUAGCUCAACAUCAUAGGGAUGCGGGUGGUGCUGUGGUCUAAACCACUGAGCCUCUUGGGCUUGCUGAUCAGAAGGUCAGCUGUUUGAAUCCCUGUGACUGGGUGAGCUCCCGCUGCUCUAUCCCAGCUCCUGCCAACCUGGCAGUUCAAAAGCAUGCCAGUGCAAGUAGAUAAAUAGGUGCCACUGCGGUGGGAAGGUAAAUGGCAUUUCCAUGCACUCUGGUUUCCAUCACAGUAUCCCAUCGUGCCAGAAAUGGUUUAGUCACACUGGCCACAUGAGCCGGAAAGUUGUCUGUGGACAAACACCGGCUCCCUCGGCCUGAAAGCGAGAUAUGCACUUCAACUCCAUAGUCGCCUUUGACUGGACUUAACCGUCCAGGGGUCCUCUACCUUUACCUUACCUCAUCAUCACUGGCCUUGUUUGCUGGGGCUGACUGGAGUUGUCCUUCAGCAACACCUGGAAAGCCAAAGGUCACCCCCUUAUGGUGCCCAGCAUUGUAUUCGGCUGCUAUUAAAUACUUCUGAAUUGUUUCUGCUAGUCCUGUACUGCAAUUUUCUCCUGUGUUUUCCAACCAUUCUCCAUCAAAGAAGGAGAAAAGAAAUUGCAUUUGGAAACUUAUCAAACAAGCGAGGGAACGCUGGUGGUGAAAUUAUCCUGGUACUGGUGUAGGGUUUUUGUAGCACUUGCCUUCUGAGUGGGCAGAAGAGUUUUAGUGAGUCCUUUCAUUCUAUAAUUUUUAACCAGUGGUCUGCGCUCUUCAGUCUUCUCAGGUAUUUCAAUUAAAGCUCAAGGGAAGAUUCCACGAGGUGGAUCCUCCCAUGAAACUUUCAAAUCGGAAAGCUCAGGCAGCUUGGAAGGUUGCAGAGAGCGGGGGAAAUGUUUACAGUGGUACCUCAGGUUAAGAACAGUUUCAGGUUAAGAACGGACCUCCAGAACGAAUUAAGUUCUUAACUUGAGGUACCACUGUCUUGGAAAUAAAAACGCACCACCCUUGAUCGCCUUACAGUAAUAAGGUAAGUUUAUAGUGCUGGACCCACUGAAAUUCUCAAAUGAGACGGAAAAAUUAAAGCGCUUCUUUGCAACAGAUUAAAACACUUGAAAGAUGUGGAGAUUCUUCACAGCACUGAUUUCUACAGUCGCUGUUUUAUGCUGUUGAGUAUUGCCCAGCAAGUGUAUCUAAAAAUCUUAUUUUGAGCAGUGGCGUAGCAUGGGUUGUCAGCACCCGGGGCAAGGCAAGUAAUUUGCGCCCCCUAACCCGUGGAUUUGUGCCCCCUAACCCAUGGAUUUGCGCCCCCUAACCCGUGGAUUUGCGCCCCCUAACCCUAACCCCCAGAUGUUGCGCCUGGUGCGCCCGGCCCCCCCUGCACCCCCCACGCUACGCCACUGAUUUUGAGUAUGCAGCAACAUUUUUUGAGUCGAUUGUUAAAUAGCUUUUUUUCCUUAACAAGUAUUCAAAGUCAAACUGAGGUAAAUAAGUGGCUGUUAAAAAUUGGGGAAAGCAAUUAUUCCAAACUUUCUUAACACAUUUAGAAAUCUCUGCAUUACUGUGGAUUGAGUUUGUGAAACCUGUAGGCAAUUUCUCAUUCUGCGUUGAGAUCACAAGCCUGAAAAGUACAGUAUCUCAUUGUGAAAUGGGGUUUGAGCAGUACUAUAAAUAGGAGGAGGAGACAGUAUUGGGCAAAUCUGAGUGAAUUUGGAAAUGGCCAUUGUUUUUGCUAUUUUAUGCGCAGAAUUAAAUGGGACUUCUGCAAUGUGGUAUUUAAAAAAUGUUGGUUCUGAUCUAGAGAGCCGUAAAUGUAAAGGAAUCUGGGUAUCUGAAGGAAUAACUGCUCCCAUAUGAACCUGCCUGUUCAGCUGAGGUCCUGCCCCGGGUGGCUCACCUUGAGAGGUGAGAUAAGUUGGCUACGGGGUACAGAUCCUUUUCGGUGGUGGCACCCAGAUUGUGGCAGCACCGUCCCUAAUCACACUUGCCAAGUGUAUGGUUAGCAUUUUGUAGGUGCCAGAUGCAAACCAGAUGAUUGCCAAAGCUUUCAUAGCAUCUAAAACUAAGAUUUGUUGAGAACAUCCUUUGUGUACUUCUCUUUUCCAUCUGCCUUUAGAUCUGAACUGGUUGGAGAGCAGCAUUCGUUUGAUUAAACCAUGUUUGCAAUUUGGCACCCUGAGAAUCUAUCUUCACUUUUUCAGACUUCUACUUGGUGUUUGCUCUUAAUGCUUGAUGCUCUUCUUUGAUUUUAUUCUGUUUUUUUAGUCUUUGACAAUGGAAUGUGUUAAUGAGAGGGUUGGAUGUUGUUGUUUUUUUAAUGGUGUUGCAUUGCCAAGUGAUUUGAGGGCCCAGUUUGUCUGAAAUGACAGGGCUAAGGGAGGAUUCUAGUAGUCAAGAAUAAAACUUAAAUUAUUUUGGGGGGUCCCUCCUCCAUAAAAUGCUAGUACAGUGGUACCUCAGCUUACAUACGCUUCAGGUUACAUAUGCUUCAGGUUACAGACUCCGCUAACCCAGAAAUAGUGCUUCAGGUUAAGAACUUUGCUUCAGGAUGAGAACAGAAAUCGUGCUCCGGUGGUGCGGCGGCAGCAGGAGGCCCCAUAAGCUAAAGUGGUGUUUCAGGUUAAGAAGAGUUUCAGGUUAAGUACAGACCUCUGGAACGAAUUAAGUACUUAACCUGAGGUACCACUGUAUCCGUUUCCCCCCUCUUUAAACAUUACUAUCUUAUUCCUUUUCAAUAUUUGCUUCAAAUUUUGAAGUAAAUAAACUUUAUCCAAUUUGAUUCUUCAUCUACAGUGAGCGCAGUCUCUGUUGGCCUUUUUUAUUUUAUUUUGCAAAGAUAACAAAGAUAACAAGAUAAAACAGCCCUGUGGCAUUGACAAUAAGAAUAUAUCAUCACUCCUAACAUAAAUGUAUAGAUUAAUAUUGACAGUCUAAAUCAGUCAUCCCCCAAACUCUGCCCUCCAGAUGUUUUGGGACUACAAUUCCCAUUAUCCCUGAACACUGGUCCUGUUGGCUAGGGAUGAUGGGAGUUGUAGUCCCAAAACAUCUGGAGGGCAGAGUUUGGGGAUGCCUGGUCUAAAUGACCUGUUAGCUUAAUUUCAGCAUGCUUUGGAGAUAGCCGAGCUUAGGGUCAAAAUGAUUGGGUUGGAGUGUGUAUGUGAGAGAGCAGCAAUUGAAUCCCAAAACCCUGUUGAUUGGCGAAGGACUAAGAUGGGCGAGGCCAGGGAUCGGACACCCACAUGUGAAUGUUGUUUGCAGUGAUGCUACCUACUCACAGGCAGGGGCCCAGCAUUUUCAGACAGCUGCUGUCCAAAGGAAAGAGCAAGAUGAAGUAGUUUCAUCACCCACGUCCCAUUCACCAGGUUGCUACAUUUUUGAGACACAGUACGGAAAGUACUUUUAAUCUUAAGGCACCCACACAGCUGUGUUCUUCCUGUUAGCUAUCAGUAGAACAGGUUGACCCCAGUUAGUUCAGUGUGGCCAAGUUUGGUGGAGUUGAACCUGUGCCUAAAAUUCAGGUAUGCUGAAAACCUGCUGGCUUGCAGAACAGGUAGCUUUUCAAAAUCUGAGAGUAUGCCCUGUUUGCAUAUCUAUUUGGACAUAGAGACUGCUUCCUUGGGAGGGUUUUAAGCAGAGGUUAGGUGGCCAUCUGUCAUGGACGCUUUGGCUGAGAUUCCUGCUUUGCAGGGGGUUGGACUGGAUGACUCUCGAGGUCCCGAUCCUAUGAUUCUACGAUAUAUGUCAGAAUUGAUGUAGAGUGGUACCUCAAGUUAAGUACUCACGUAAUUCAUUCCGGAGGUCUGUUCUUAACCUGAAACUGUUCUUAACCUGAAGCACCACUUUAGCUAAUGGGGCCUCCUGCCGCCGCGCCACUGGAGCACGAUUUCUGUUCUCAUCCUGAAGCAAAGUUCUUAACCUGAGGUAAUAUUUCUGGGUUAGCAGAGUCUGUAACCUGAAGCGUAUGUAACCUGAGGUACCACUGUAUUAUUUUAUUAUGAAUGUGAGCUGACAUUUUUUCCCUUUUUUCUAUUUGUGUGUGUGUGUGUUUGUGUUUGUGUGUGUGUGUGUGUGUGUGUGUGUGUAAUAGAUGUAAACAUGCAAUCAAAUCAUGUGCUUUCCUCUCCCAUGUUCAUAGAACGGGAGACGUCGAGUGUAGGCACAACUAAUUCUGUCUCAGGCUUGAUCAGAUACAAAUUUAAACGCAGAAUUUUACACUCUGAAAUGCUCUUGAAUGCAGAUUUAGUGGAUCUAGGUACUUGAAAAGUAGGUUCUGCAUAGGGUUGUACUUGACACUGAGCUGAAUUUUGUGGGGGAGAUAAUGGGACUUUUCUGAAGCAGCAAGCCCAUUCUGAAUACUCCCAAGGCAAAUCUAGGCCUUCCUAAAGCAAUUUGGAACAGGACAAAGCUGCAGACAAUGUGUUGGCAAAACGUUGCAUUUUCUCCCCAAGUUUUGCCUAUAAGGGAAAUGCCUAGGGGUUGGGGAGCGCUGGGGGCAUAUAGUUUCGUACCUGGCUUCUACAAGGGGCUCUCCAAUCACAAUGUUUUUGGGGAUGCAAGUUGAAUGAAUGCAUCAGCCUUGAUCUUGGCGGCUCCGUAGCCAUUGUUAAUUCUGCGGGUGCUGCUCGCUUGGAAGACGUUAGAUGCUCAGUUCCUUCUGCCAGAUCUGCACAUGUCCAGUCUUGUCAAAUCUGCUCUGCACUUGGCUUCUGUGAGUUGGGGCCGAUGGAGUAGAACAGAAGUCUGAAGCUGUUUCCCUGUCCCCAUUCAUCAAAAAGCCCAUAUCUGCACCUAUUUUUCUCAGAGUUCACUUUGCAAAUUACAGCUACUAACUAGAAGCACUUUUGUCAUGGGUCAUUUUCAUACAAAUGGUUCACAAAACCUCAGGGAAGGGAGCAAAUCCUUUUUUCAGUCCCCUUUAAAAUCAACUUGGAAUGUGCCAUGCAUAAGCCCCUUGUGUUUAUCCUUCUGAAAUUUAGCAAGUGUCUUACCAAGGUGGACCCUCUCCAAUGUAUGCUAUUUUCAUAUACAGUGGUACCUCGGGUUACAUACGCUUCAGGUUACAGACUCCACUAACCCAGUAAUAGUACCUUGGGUUAAGAACUUUGCUUCAGGAUGAGAACAGAAAUUGUGUCCCGGUGGCGCGGCAGCAGCAGGAGGCCCCAUUAGCUAAAGUGGUGCUUCAGGUUAAGAACAGUUUCAGGUUAAGUACGGACCUCCGGAACGAAUUAAGUACUUAACCCGAGGUACCACUGUAAAUUGCUCACAAAACAAUUGUGUGCGUGUGACAAAGUUUGGUUUUUUUUAACCAUCUCCAAACCCCCAUAUGCCUUCUAAAACUUGACGAUCUUCAUGCUCUCAGUAGGAGCUGCUACUACUACACACAAAUAUGGAGUAAUCUCAAACUUUAAGGGUGCCCAGAGCAAACCCUGAACCUAUUUAUUUGGGACUUGACAGGUCUUGUUCACUUAAAAGAGGCUACUCUGUCUGCAAGUUUCAUUAAGUUCCGCCAAGAAACAGUUUCUGCCAUUGGUUGAUUUUUCACAUGAGAGCAGAGAGCAUUCAGAAAGGUUCUGAUUUGUAGCAAAGGCAAAGCAGGUGUUCUCCCAAGCAGUCAAAGCUCAGCGCAGGCCAAUUUCUGAAGUGCCAAAUCAAAGUUGGAACCAAAUAUCACUCAUCUUAUUUAUUCCAUAACAUUCAUAUACUGCUUGAUUGUAGAAAAAAACCCCUCAAAGCAUUUUACAGAAAGAAAUAAAGCAAUGUGAUCAGUGCAUACCCUUAUUUCUAUAAUUAGUCACCUGUAGAGUGGAAAGUUUAAGGGGAAGCAAUAUAAAGAUCAGUGAAACUACGUGUGAAAUCUACAAGCUGAAAAUAAAUUGAACACACAGAUCUCAUGGGUGAGGAGAGAGUAAGUCACCACAGAAACUAAUAUAUAAAAGCAUCUUGCUGGUUUGGAGCAGGCCUUGUUUGCAACCUGAUCAGGUCUGUUCUUCCAGCUCAAGCACCAGAGGGGAUUUCAAAAGCAGAAGAUCAAUAGAUGAGGUUCUGACUAACUUCAGCAAAGCUGUACCCAGGUGAAGGAGGAUAACAAGUUUAGGCUACGUGGGCUGAAGAAUAUGAGAAUCUCUUAAAAAGCAGAAUUGUAUCAACAGAUGGUAGCUAGUGCAGAUUAAUGAUGGGAAAGUGUCCACUGUUUUUCCUAUGGCUGUGUCCACAGGGUGAACUGCAGACCUUCCAAGUAUCCCUAUUUUCCAGGGACAGUCCAGGAUUUACAGAAGCUGUCCCUGUUUCUGAUUGAUCCUAGAACGUCCCGCUUUUCCAUAAGACUUCCUUGUUUUCAUUGGAGAAAUGUUGGAGGGUAUGGAGUUGCAUAACCCCUGAGCCAAGGAGAUAAGUCACUAGACAACCUUUAGAAGACAUCUGAAGCCAGCCCUGUAUAGGGAAGUUAUUAUUAUUAAUAUGUUGGAAGCCACCCAGAGUGGCUGGGGCAACCCAGUCAGAUAGGUGGGGUAUAAAAAGUACUAUUAAUGUUAUUGAAUAGGACGUACCUAUUUUCACUGGAGAAGUGUUGGAGGGUAUGAAACUUCUUUUGCAACUCAGGCAAGUGCAUGGACCGCUGGCAUAAAUCUGACCCAUGGUGAAGAAAGCUAAAAAGAGAGGAAGUAGGCUAUACAUCUGACAAAUUCUUCACUGGUUUUUACCAGCUUCUUGUGGUUCAGUCUAUGAAACAAAGUCCCCAAGCAGCUGAGAGGCUCAUUCAUCUGUUCAAUGCUGUUGGCAUUCCUUGCCUAUUUCUCUGGGAAUCAGAAUGACAGCAGGUUGCACAACUUUGCAGGGGAAGGGGCACAGAUGCAGCCAGGGGUGACAACUUGAACAAAAUACCGGGAGGGCCCAGGUAAGCCCUGCUGCACAUAAUUGAUCACAAGACAUGCCAAAUACACUCACCAUUUGAAUGGCAAUGCCCAUCAACUUUGGGGAGGGGGGCUGGCUUCCUCAAAUGUUUUAUUUGGGUGGGAGCUGAAGGGACCUUGGCUCUAGGAAUUGGCUCCUAUGGAUGUAGUAAAUUAGGCGCAACAGCGUUGGAUUUCUUGGACACCUGCCUUGUGCACCCUCGAGUGCGUGUGCCUGUCUGAUAGGAUUCACCAACUCAAAGGAGCUGCUUCGAAAUGCUUGAUCAGGGCUCAGGAGCCCAAUGAAACGCCAGGCCUAACAGAGACUCAUUCAUCUAAUCCUUGACUAUAUUACAAGACUCACUGUGUUUGUGCGAGAUGGUGAUUAAUUGAGUUAGAUGACAUGGUCAUUGUGUACUAGCAGAAGUAGUGUUCAUCAUUGUCUUGCCUAACUAUAAUAUAAUCCCCUUACGUUUAAUCACGCGGAGCACAAUUUGUCUUGAUUGAGGAGGGCUGUUUGGCUGCGCUCAGCAUUGUUCACCGUAUAACAAGCAGGGUGGGAUUUCGUACAAUGGCCAGAUCCUAACUUACUCCGGCCAGAGCUCAAGUGCCUGGUAGUUAUUGGCAGCUUCAUGCAGAUUUCCUCUGGACCAGCCCAGAGCUUCGUGGCCUCCAUGAUAACUGGGGCUGACCCAAGUGCUUGUGUCCAAAUGCACAGUGUUCUUGGUGUGGUCUUUCCUUAACCACAGAUGGCAUGACUGGUGGUCCAGUAAUGGGGAGUGGUCAGCCAUGCUCAGAUGACUGUCUAGUGAAGUUUGGGCUUAUGCUGGCAUCUUGGGCUUAUGAUGGAUAGAGGAUAGAGAGGAAUGUGUGUGUAGUAAUAUAAUAGUAAUAGUAAUUUUAUACAUACAUAGAUACAUACAUACAUACAUACAUACAUAAAAGGUAAAGGGACCCCUGACAGUUAAGACCAGUCGUGGCUGACUCUGGGGUUGCGGCGCCCAUCUCGCUUUAUUGGCUGAGGGAGCUGGCGUACAGCUUCCAGGUCAUGUGGCCAGCAUGACUAAGCUGCUUCUGGCGAACCAGAGCAGCGCACGGAAACACCGUUUACCUUCCCACCAGAGUGGUACCUAUUUAUCUACUUGCACUUUGGCGUGCUUUCGAACUGCUAGGUUGGCAGGAGCAGGCACCGAGCAACGGGAGCUCACCCCAUUGCGGGGAUUCGAACCGCCGACCUUCUGAUCAGCAAGUCCUAGGCUCUGUGGUUUAACCCACACAUACAUACAUACAUACAUACAUACAUACAUACAUAUAUACCCUGCCCAUCUGGCUGGGUUUCCCCAGCCACUCUGGGCAGUUUUGUACAGCUCUGUCAACUGUACAAAGGUGAAAAUCGCAUUCUUUUUCUGGCACUUCAGUUCAUUGGCUUGUGGCCCCUAGAAAGGAAUGUGGCCCUUGGGUGGAAAAUGGUUCCCCAUCUCUACAAUAAAUGUCUGUUUAGCACCUCCUCCUCCUCCUCCAAAAGGUGAGGGAAGCUCAGUGGGGCAUGGGGCAAGCUGCCCCCUUGCCAGGUUUGCAAACUGCGCCCCUUUCCCCACAUCUGCAGUUCAGAGAGCUCAUUUCAAUCUUUGAAUCUUCUGUACAAAAAUCCUGAGGUGAUUUACAAUGGUAAAUGUGGAUCACAAUUAUAAGAGUUAAAACAAUAAAGGAGAACAUUAAUAACCAAGGCAACCAGCAGCAAGAACCGUAAGCCCAAUAAAACAGGAGAGCGAUUGCUUUAAAAAGGGAUAUUACCAUUUUAACUUGUCACUUAAAUGCUGCCAUUGAAUCCUUUCCCGUUACAGGUAAGGCUGAGCAAAAAUGGCCUCUCAGACAAGAGCACCACCAGGGUAGGAUUUUGAGGGAAGUGCUGAGCAAAAUUCCUGGAGGCGCCCCAUUCAGCAGGGCUGACUAUACAUGCUGAAGUAAAUGAGGAAGGCUUUAAGUUCAGGGCUGGUUCACUCAUAAAGCAAGGUGAGCUGACUGCCUCAGGCGGCAGAAUCCCCAGGGGCAGCGGAUCCCAAUGUCACUCUCCUCUCCCCCUUUAUUCCCGAUGAAGAAGUGGAAUAUAAAUGCAGUAAACAGGGGCCUUGCUCUGCCCAGCAUAAUCGAUCAGAAGAUGUGGCACAGACACAGCAUUUAAAUGACAAUGCCCAUAAACUGGGGGGGGGGGGCAGACCCCUCAAAUAUUUUGUGGUGAUAGUGGUGAACGAAUCCCAGCCCCUAGGAGUUGGCAGCUAUAGCAGUAAAUAAAUAAAAAUGAAUAAAUAAGUUAGGCAAACAUCUCAAAUUGCCUAACUGCAACCCAGCUACCAAAAUUAUCCACAUUAUCUUCUCCAGAGGUGUAUGGAAAUUCUGCACCAUUUAUUGAGGAAAUUGUAAAAGGGGGGUUAUUUUAAACAACAAAAACAACAACCUGAAAAUUCUUCCAUGAGAAUUUCCCCCUCAGCCAAAACGAAGCACCUCUACUGGAAAGAAGGCGUGGACACCCAGCAAGGGAACCCAGAAGACCAUCUCAAAGGUGGGGCAGACAUUAUAAGUGAGAAGGUAGUCAUUUUAGGUACAAGUUGCAUAAGGCCUUUAAAGGUUAAUAGGGAGGGGGGCCCCUAUUUUUAUUUAUUUAAUUAUUUUGACAGGCUUUAUAUACCAUUUAAUCAAAACCUCUAAGCAGUUUACAUCAAAUAUACACUAAAAUUACUGACAGAAUUGGAUGCGGGGGGCGGGGGGGGGGAGAGUCGGCCUAAUCUUUUCCUCCCAAAAUAAAAUUGACAUUUAAAAAAUAUACGCUUUAAGAUAAAAAGUACAUAUCAAAAUAUAUGGCGAAUAUACAUGUCUGGGUGGGCUUGCUGUAAAGAGAAGCAGUUUUCAGUAGUCUCUGAAAACAGUACAUCAAAGGCAUCAAUGGGCAAGGAGACCAGAAUGAGGAGGAGUACCAGGAAGCAUGGAAGAAAAAUUAAUUGGAAAAAGCUUGCAAGUACCAAAUAGGCUUAGGAUUUAUAUAUGUUAUGUGAUGAAUUAAUAUGUUUAAUGCUGAAUUGAUAAGAAAGAAAGAUGUUAAGUGAUCAAGUUAAGUUUAUAAGAAUUUUGAUUUGGAAAACCAUUAAAAUGAUAUGCAUUGAAAUUCAACUAGGGGGAUAUGAGGAAGUCACUUAACAAUGUUAACAAGAUUAGUCUUAAUAAGGUUAUGAUUUAUGUUUGUUUGUUUGUUUGUGUAUUUAUAAGUUUGUGAAAAUUAAAUUUUUUGAAAAAAAAAUAAAUACAUGGCGAAUAUACAUGUCUGGGUGGGCUUGCUGUAAAGAGAAGCAGUUUUCAGCAGCCUCUGAAAACAGUACAGCAAAGGCAUCAAGGGGCAAGGAGUUCCAAUGUGCAGGUGCUGCCACACUAAAGGAUCGAUUUCUUGUAAGUGUGGCACAAAGGUUAUGUGACACUUGUAAAAAUGCCCACUCUGCAAAUUGACCUGCCCUAGCUAACUAAGCCCAGAGACAAAUUAGUAACUUGUAAGUGGGCCUACAAGCUGCAACAAAAUGUUGCCAUGUGGAGAGUUCAUGAUAUUCCAUUCCAUUUGCCUUUGCCGUUUCCCGUUUCCCUCAUUCCCAACAGUCGGUUGCUCCUGAGCCUGCUCGGAAAUGAUGUAUGGAUUAAUAACUUAGGAAUGAAUAACUCAGAUCCAUUAAUGUCAAUGGCUCUACUCUUGAGUAUAACUUUGUUGGAUACAACCCUCUAUAUAUUUCCUACUAUGUUUCAGUUGUUGUAUUUUUAAUGUUCAUUUACUUUCCUAUAAAAUAUGUAUGAAAAACAUUUUGCAAGUCUGUCUCUCUUGCUGUGAUUUAUGCAUUCGUUGAAGCCGCGGUAUGUAGUGCUGGACACUGAGGGCACAAACAGUCUUCACAAUUUCCCCAGCAACCAUGAGGGCUAGAAACCUAUUUUUAAAAAAUAAAACACAACCUCUUCUUUACAAGUUGCUGACACACUUGGUAGAAUGGACACUAGCAUUUGCUUUUCUGCUGUUUCCUUGGCUGCUGCAAUUCUACAUGUGUGUCACACAUAGGUCAACAGACAGCUGAAAUACAGCUCAAGGGAGAUCAUUUGCUGUGGGUCCCCCCCCCAAAGAUGUAGUAAUUUGAUUUUGAACCAGAUUUCAGGCAGACAGAUUUGACUUGUAAAAGACUUUCAGUUAUGUUUUCGUAAAAGUGUUUCCUACCAGGAUGACUACAGAAAACUGGUUUAGAGGAGCAAAGGGAUAACACUGGGAAUUAUUAGGGAGCAAAACUUUUGCUGUGCACAUUAAACAAAAGGUAAAGGACCCCUGGAUGGUUAAGUUCGGUCAAAUUCAGCUAUGGGGUACAGUGCUCAUCUCUGCUUUUAGGCUAAGGGAGCCAGCAUUUGUCCACAGACAGCUUUCCAGGUCAUGUGGCCAGCAUGACUAAACCGCUUCUGGCACAUAGAGAGCACAUGGACACAUCGUUUACCUAUUUAUUUGCACUGGUAUACUUUCUAACUGCUAGGUUGGCAGAAGCUGGGACAGAGCAACAGGAGCGCACCCUGUUGCGCGGAUUUGAACUGCUGGCCUUCUGAUCAGCAAGCUCAAGUUGCUCAGUGGUUUAGGCCACAGUGCCACCUGUGGUACAUUAAAUACAAAUGUUCGGUGAAGGAAAUGGAGAGUGAAUGAGGUUGCAGGAAAUAUUGAAGGUCUGAGACCGCCAUAAUCUGGAAAUGCUCCCGCUACCUGUGAGUGGUAUUUAUACGUCUGAGCCAGAGAUUUGUUUGUGGAUAAGAGCUAGUUAUCUGUUUCUGUAACAGGAGUAGGAGAUUGUUCCCCUUCUUGAGGAACAACCUGCUUUCUUGCUAUAUGGGAACUGUCUGUGUCAUACCACUGUGAAGAAGAUACGACGAUUCUUCCCCAUUGGACUCAUGACUUAGGUGCAAAAAGCUCUGUAGCCUGAUGUUGCCUUCUGUGAGGAAUAGGAAGAAAUCUUGGUAUUCAAUUUUAAUUGGAUUUACUUCUGGCACAUUUGUACUUUACCUUUCUUCUAGAAUUAAUGAUAUCUGACUUCUUGAAUUAAUUUUAUAAUGAAUGGUUUUAGAGUGUUGUUUGUGCUGUACUUUUGUACUGUUUUAUUGUUGUUAGCCGCCCUGAGCCCGGCUUCGGCUGGGGAGGGCGGGAUAUAAAUAAAAUUAUUAUUAUUAUUAUUAUUAUUAUUAUUCUGUGCUAUGGCAACAUGGCUUUCCUAUUGUUCCACUAGCCUCAUUUGCAUAUCAAAAAUAUAGCUCCUUGCCAUUUGUAUUCUUAGAAAGCCGUCUUCGGGCCAAGCACAUGAAGCUAAGGGUGCUUUCAGAUGACCUGUUUAUGGAACAUUCAUCCUGGGCUGGAUCUAUACAGCUAUAAAAAUGCUGUGAAACCCUAUGAAAAUAAACAUUAUAAAAUAUCACAUUAGAAACUCUCGUUGACUUGGGAUUUCAGCUCUACAGCACCACCUGGUGUCACAUUGUUAAAACACAUUUAUAAUGUCAUAAGUCCAAAAAGAAAAAUUCCUUAUGGAUGGCAAAUCUAAAACCACUACAUAUGCAUGGAAAUUAGCAUGGAAAUAUAGGUGGUUAGACAGUUCAAAUAUGCCCUUCUAAGUUCCUUCCAAAGUUUCCCUCUUCCCCAGCAUAGAAAAAAAAGACCAUGUGUUUGGUAAGUUUAAAAUGAUUUACUUACAAUCUUUCCAGGUCAGAUUCAUGUGCCUUUCCAUACAGCGUUCAGAAAAAGUUGAUCAGGCAGUAAAACUUGGCUUAGUUACAGUGAGGAAAUAAGCCAAGUUUUACUGCCUGUGCAACUUUUUCUGAAUGCUGUAUGGAAAGGCACAUGAAUCUGACCUGGAGAGUUUGUAAGUAAACUAUUGGUAUAGGAACUCAAGAGUGGCUUGUAAGUGGCAUGCGGUCUGAGCUGCUGCAAUCGGCUCAGACCUUCUUUCGCAUUGAGCUUCUCUGGUAGAAGCCUUGAUUACCUUGUCCCUCCCAAGGUGAGCUAAGCCUGGCAGAACAACUUACUCUAUGGUCUUAACCCAUUCAUGCAUUAGUUGAACUUAAGCAUGUUGGUUUUAUGAGGCUAAUUACCCCACACUUCCCCCCUAAAGCUAAAAGCAUUAUGGAAAGCAAAUUUUGUUGGGAUUGCAGUUAGUGAGGAAAGGGUCAAGUUUCCCUUCCCCACAUGCCACAGCCCUGAUGGAAAUUUCCCGCAUGCCCCUGAUCUGCUUUCCAAACAUGCAUUUAGCAUCACAUGCAGUUAGGGCCUCCGUAGUAGUUCAAACAGUAGUAACGGCAAAACGAUUUUAUGGACCUUGACUUCCAAGGCAGACUAGAGCAUUUCUCAUUUUGGAAAUUAAGCAAAGAGUCUGGCUAUGAUCCAGUUUACUUACAUAUAGCUCCCCCCUUUUGAACAAUACUAUGCUUUGAGAGUACUCCCUUGAGAACCCCACUGCUCAAUGAAAAAAAAUCAUAUGAUCAAUCUGUGCUACAGAAUUUAAAGACAAAGGGGCUGACAUCAUCAGGCAAAACUUUCAGGAAAGCACUCUGCUGCUGGGAGGAUGUAGGUUUUCUAUGGAUUUAAUUGGACAUCUGGAAGCCCUUUUUUUGAGACAAGACAAAUCUGAUUAAUAUCUCUAAUACUCCAAAAGAGGGAGGCUUCCAAGGCAUCUUUAUCUGUCAUCCAUCAGCUCUUGACAUCCUUAGUAUUGUAUUUGUGGCUGUCAUGGGAAAAUAACUUGUGCAAACUUAUUGCUCAACUCUCUCCAAUAACGUUAAGCCUAGGUAGCUGGUUUUACCGGAUAUAUAUGACUUGGGACUUCAGCGGGGAACUAUUUGGAAAAUGGUAAGCUUAAAAGCCUGGCCCCUCAGUGUGCUCUGCAAUAAAAUCAUUAAAUCAAUAAUCCAUAAAUGUGACUUCUUUUUAGUCUUUCUAUAAAGUUAAGUAGAUAAUGGCCACUAAUGUGAGUUCCACUGCUAUAUGUGCUCUGACAUACGGGACGCAAUAGCUUCAGAACUGUAGCAGAAAUGUCCUUACUGCAUUGGCGGAAAACCUUUUCCCUUGCUGAGAAUGAAAAACACCAGCAAGUUUAAAUUUCCAGUGUUGUGCAGCACGACCCGAGGCAUGUUUGCUAGAAGUGAGCCCCACUAUAUUAGGUGGGGCUUACUCCCAGGAAAGUGGGCAUAGGAUAAAAGCCAAAAAAAGCAGCUGCCUUGCACCAAAUCAGACCAUUAUUCCAUCUAGCUCAGGACCACAAUACCUCAAGGACCGCCUCUUUCCAUAUGAACCUACCCAGACCCUGAGAUCAUCUUCUGGGGCCCUCCUUUGUGUGCCACCUUCUUGAGAGGUGUGGAGGGUGCAACAUGAGAAAGGGCCUUCUGUGCAGUGGCUCCCUUUCUGUGGAAUGCUCUCUCCAGGGAAAUUUGCCUGGCGCCUUCAUUACACACCAGGCAAAAACAUUCUUUUUUGACCAGGCCUUUGGUUGAUCUGUUUAACAUCCUAUACCCUUUUAUCUGUUUAACAUCCUGUACCCUUUUAUGGGGCACGGGUGGCGCUGUGGGUUAAACCACAGAACCUAGGGCUUGCUGAUCAGAAGGUCGGCGGUUCGAAUCCCCGUGAGGGGGUGAGCUCCCGUUGCUCGGUCCCUGCUCCUGCCAACCUAGCAGUUCGAAAGCACCUCAAAGUGCAAGUAGAUAAAUAGGUACCGCUCCGGCAGGAAGGUAAGCGACAUUUCUGUGUGCUGCUCUGGUUCUCCAGAAGCGGCUUCGUCAUGCUGGCCACAUGACCCAGAAGCUGCACGCCGGCUCCCUUGGCCAAUAAAGCGAGAUGAGCGCUGCAACCCCAGAGUCGGCCACGACUGGACCUAAUGGUCAGGGGUCCCUUUUUAGCGUUUUAAAAUGUGACUCUUUUCUGGGUGUGGGUGUUAUUGAGUUGUUGUUUUUUAUUCUGAUUAUAUAUGUUGUGAUCUUUUCUGUGAACCACCCUGAGACCUCUGCGUAUAGGGCGGUAUAUAAACCCUAAUAAUAAUAAUAAUAAUAAUAAUAGCCUGUCUGUCUGACUAUAUACAGUCUGGCAGGGACUCCCCAGGAGUUGAGAUGUGAUUCCUUCUCAGGCCCAUCUGGAGAUGUCGGGACUUGAACCUGGAAUCUUUUACUGAGCUACAGCCAGGGGCACCAUCUCCCAGGGGCCAAGCUCUUUUGGACCCUCCAGUAUUUUGCGGGGGGGGGGGAGUCCCACCCCAAAGGCGGCAGCAGGAGAAGGCCGAGUGCCAGAGAGGAGGAGCCAAUGGCCAUUGAAGCCAUGCUGGCGCUGCAUUGGGCUCUGCCCCAGCUCCUCCUGACGCCAUGAGUACAAGACUUGUGUCGCUCACAACAAUGGCGCCCUUGCAAUCUUUGGCACAGGUUGGUUUCUCUGACUACAGCCCUUCCUGAAGUCACCAAUUAAGGCAAUGGGCACAAUCCUGAAAAUGUUAGUCACUUCAAGUUCCAGGGCUAGUCAUGCUUGUAGCCGGGGGGAGGGCAGGGGGACAUCUGCCCUCCCAUAAAUCAAGGAAAGAAAGAAAAACAUUUAAUUAAAAGUAGAAAUAAUUAGAAUACAGUGGUACCUUGGUUCCUGGACGGCUUAGUUGACAAAAACAUUGGCUCCCAAACGCCGCAAACCUGGAAGUAAGUGUUCCGGUUUGUGAAUGUUUUUCGGAAGCCGAACAUUCGUUUUGGCUGUCAGCAUUAUUUCCGGGGCCAAUCAGAAGCCAUGCCUUAGUUUUCGAACGUUUUGGAAGUCGAACAGACUUCCAGAGCAGAUUGCGUUUGAGAACCAAGGUAUUUGAGAUUGAAAUGUUCGCUGAGGUCGCUUGGAUGAUGUUGUGGCGCCUUCUGGCGAUACAACUGGCAGCCCGACUGAGCGAUAGGCGUGGCUUCUGCAAAUGGACCAAUUGUGUCACAGGUUCUGGAACAUGACAGGUGGGUGUCCUGGCCCCACUACCAUAAAUUCUGGCUAUGCCCAUGGGACUGGCCCCGCUUUGAGGCAAAUGUGGGAAUGUUCAGGGAUGCAGGAGAGGAUAUAUUGUUUGAUUAUAGCUUUUCCAACUUGUGUUAACAAGUUCACAAUUUAGCAGAGUAACAUUCCCCUUUUUAAACUCAGCGGAUGCGUUUGCUCAGGCUCGCUUAAGCCUCUAUAAUAACUGUUCUGGCAUUUCCCCCUUAUUCCCUCAUAACAGAUAAGACACGACACAGUCUUCUAUAAAAGUAUAAAAAGAGUUUACUCACAUUCUGUUCAUAAUCAGAUCCCAGAAGGCAGACUUAGCUUAGAAAAGUAACAUACACCUGGAAACUAUCUCAUAAGGAGACAGUCCCUCUGUCCUCUCUUGGCUGGAAGCAUCUUUGGCUAAGCAGAUGUUGCUUCUUCGAUGCAUGUAGUCAAAGAGAGAGAGAUGGCUGCCCUGCCCUGUGCUUUUGUCAUUACCUGCACAGGUGAGGCCAACCCACCUCUAGUCACAUGCAGAGGAAGUCUGUCACAGCCCAGAAGGAAACAGGAAGUUUACCUGCUGGCUGGACAAACAUUCCUCCCCAUGUGUAAACAUGUUCACUCUAGGAAUGUUGUACUUGACUGCUCUUGUGUUUCACAUCCCACAGCAAAAGGGAUGUGGUAAAUGCUGUGAGGUCUGUGUGUAUGCAUGCUAAGCAGCCUGCCCUGCGCUUUGUAAGCUAAUCUGCUCUCCUCAGGUACAGUGGAGGACGUGGCCCCAUCAACAGCGUUGAGGUAAAAAGUCUACUGCCAGCGCUGUUGGAACAGGGGAGAACCUAAGAAGAGCCUGAUGGAUCAGUCCAGCAUCCUGUUCUCACAGUGGCCAACCAAAUGCUUGUAGGAAACCCAGCUCUUCCCUCCUGCAGUUUCCAGCAACUUGUAUUCAAAAGCAUUACUGCCUCUGAAUAUGGAGACAGAGCACAGCAUGGCGAAUAGCCCCUGAUAGCCUGAUCCUCCAUGUAUUUUUUCCAUAAACCUUCCCAGACUCUGCAUUGCCCAUCUGAGGCCCUUCUUCCACAUGGGGUCUGGAGGGCUGCAACAUGAGAACGGGCCUUUUCUGUAGUGGCUCCCUGUUUGUCGAAUGCUCUCCCCAGGGAAACUCGCCUGGCGCCUUCAUUAUAUAUAUUUUAGGUGUCAGAUGAAAACGUUCCUCUUCAACCAAGCCUUGGGCUGGUUAAUAUUCUGCAGCCUUUUAAAUGUGUCUGUGGGAAGGGGGCGGUGGAUUAUUGUUUUGCUGUUUUAUUUCGAUUAUUUACCGGGUAUUUGUUUUUAAUCCUGUAUUUUAUUAUGUGAACCACCCUGAGAUCUUACGACGAAUGACGGUAUAUAAAUCUCAAUAAUAAUAAUAAUAAAUAGUCAUAGUAAUUUUUCUAAUCCAAGACAUCUAUGUUGGUGGCCAUCGCUGGGAACAAGUUCCAUAAUUUAACCAUGUGCUGCAUGAAUAAGUACCUUAUUUUUUGCUCUAUAAGACUCGCUUUUUUCCUCCUAAAAAGUAAGGGGAAGUGUGUGUGUGUCUUAUGGAGCGAAUGCAGGCUGCGCAGCUAUCCCAGAAGCCAGAAGAGCAAGAGGGAUUGCUGCUUUCGCUGCGCAGCGAUCCCUCUUGCUGUUCUGGCUUCUGAGAUUCAGAAUAUUUUUUUUCUUGUUUUCAUCCUCCAAAAACUAGGUGCGUCUUGUGGUCUGGUGCGUCUUAUAGAGCGAAAAAUACGGUACAUUCUUUUGACUCCUCUAACAUUCAACUUCAUGGGUGUCUAUGUCUGCUUUUUUAGUUUUCACAGGUGAAGGUUAGGAACAUAGAAAGUUGCCUUAUGUUGGGUCAGACCAUUGUUCCAUGCAGCUCAAUAUUAUCUAUAUGGCAGGUUUCAGACAGCCCUAUUUGGAGAUGCCAUGGACCACGUUUGGGACCUCCUGCAUCCCAAACAGCUGCUCUGCCAUGGAUCCAGCAGUUAAUGCCAAAGUAUCUCUUUUCACCUAGAACAUCACCUGAAAUCUACUCUCCUGUCGCAGAAUGGCCCCAUACUAUGUAACUCAGUACCCUUGUAAUUCUGCAUUUUCAUGGCUCUGGGAGCCUUUGCUGGGUGUGUGGAUUUUUUUACAUUUGAAACAAAUUACCCAAUGAAUCUUUUGGGAGCAACUGGAUGCAUCAGUGCUCUGUGAACUAGAGCUGGUCACCCUUGCCUCGAUAGGAGGAGACUGUUUCAAAGGUUUGUGUGUCAGCAGCUCUGGUUGGCUGUUUCAUGGGCAGCUCCCAUAUGAAAUGUCAGAUUGGGCCAAUUGUGUACAUCACCGUGUUAACGCAGGGACACAACCCGGGGGAUUGGAAAACUCUGAAUUCCUAUGAGCAUUAUUCAAACUUGCUUUUCUUGAUAAUCAAGAAGGCAAGGCAAACAAUUCAUGACUUCGGCCCAGUGUUUGUUUACCGCGUUUGAUGUUUACUGAGCAGUUGAAAUCUUCCAAUAAACCCUGGCGGCAGUGCUUCUCUUUUUAUUUUGUAUUUUUGCAUUUGUCAUAGUCACAAGUCCUGCUUUUCAAACGGAAGUCAGUCAGCUGGUUUCCCAUUUUUCUAUCCCUCCCCCAAAGCCCAUGUUUUUCUAUCUUUUCCCCUUCCCUUUUCUAACAUUGAACCAUCUUACUAGACAAGCGCAUACAGAGCCCACCUACAGGGUUUAGAUUAGCACUGCACUAUACAAACAGGGGGUGCCUCCAGUUAGGGGUGCUUUUCAGUUUUUCUCCGUUUCCCCUUUUCCCAAUUUUAAGUCCAGCUGUCCCAAAUUUGACAUUGGUUUGUGAUCUUUCUCUCUCUUUUAAAUAAAGAAGCCUGCAUGAAAACUCAUCAACAUUGUAGUGUGUCUUUUUUUCUAAUAAUUUUUUCUAAAGUUUAAAACAUUUUUUAAAAUAAAAUUGCCUAAUAUCAUGCAUUUUUGGUGUGUCAUUUUCCACUAAUAUACACAGUUUUGUGCACACUUUACCCUGGUUACUUGGCUGGAGAACAGCACUGCUAAAUUUGAGGAUGUGGGAAUUUUGAAGGAGGCCUUUGUUUUGGUGCGCAUAUUUUUUCAGCAAUCACUUGCCUUUGAAUGUGAACAGAGUCAUAUUUCUUCCCCAUCCCUACUUCCAGACCACCUGCAUAUUGAGCAUUCAACCUGAUUUGUUUGCACCAGAUUUUCAAAGAGGUUAGAUGCUAGUGGUGGCUAUUUAUUGAUCAUUCAUUCUGAUUUGUUUUCAGGGAGGCUAUAUGAUGUUGCAUUGAGUGAUCGUCAUUUCUUAUCCAGUGUGUUUCCCUGCUACUUUCUUUGCUGCAAAAAGUUGGAUUGGAGGGUUGUUCUGCAAGAGCAACAAUGAACUUUGAUUGUGCAACCUGAAUUUGCCAGUAUGCGAUUGAAUCCUGCCCCAAAAUAGUGACAGUCUGCAGGUGCCCAGGAUGUCAGACAACAUGGUCCAGUAGAGCAAAAGAAGCAUGGGACUAUGAGAUGAGGUUUCAAGUUCCCAUUCCUUGGCAUAUAAGCUUUAGUACCCUGACUAUGACGGGAUGCGGGUGGCGCUGUGGGUUAAAUCACAGAGCCUAGGACUUGCCGAUCAGAAGGUCGGCGGUUCGAAUCCCCGCAACAGGGUGAGCUCCCGUUGCUCAGUCCCUGCUCCUGCCAACCUAGCAGUUCGAAAGCACGUCAAAGUGCAAGUAUCACUCCAGCAGGAAGGUAAACGGCAUUUCCGUGCGCUGCUCUGGUUUGCCAGAAGCGGCUUAGUCAUGCUGGCCCCAUGACCCGGAAGCUGUACACCGGCUCCCUCAGCCAAUAAAGCAAGAUGAGUGCCGCAACCCCAGAGUCAGCCAUGACUGGACCUAAUGGUCCCUUUACCUUUACCCUGACUAUAAAACCAAAGUAAAUUUACUGAACUCUCAUAUUUCUCCCCACCAAAAGUACAGAAAAUGCAAAUUUCCAUUUUCAUUUCCCUAGAUCAACAGUAAAGAACAGUAAAGGAGUCUUUUUAAAAAUAAUAACAGGGUUUUAAAAUAGAGAAUGUGAACCAGAGCCCAUUCUGUAGCAUGGUUUUUAAUUUAUUUGUGUUUGAUCACUUAUUGUAAUGGAUUCUUCUAAAAGCUUGCCCCUGUUAACACCAGCUGCCCAUUGGAAGAGCCUUGAAGAGCUUGUCUGUGGGACGGCAGGCGGGAAGAAUUACUGGAAGUAGGCAAUCAAUUUUGUCAUAACUGACUCUGCUAAGCCUGAAUGCUGUUGCACCAUCUGUAGGAGAAUCCACAUUUGGAGAUCUGUUUCUGUGUAAACAUCACCCAUGGUUAGCUCAUGCUAUCCUGUAUCCAUAUGGGUGGAACAAAUGAGAGUUUAAAAAACCAGGUAGCAAGGCCUGAGGCAAUGGAAGGGUCAUUGUUCAGUGAUACAGCAUCUUCUUUGCAUGCCAAAGGUUGCAGUUCAAUCCCUGGCAUGUCCAGGCAGACCUCAGUCUGAAAACCUGGAGAACUCCUGCCUGUCUACGUAGACAGGACUGAGCAAGAUGGGCCAGUGACCACUAACACUACUUUCUAUGUUCCUGCGACAAGAUGGUGCCUCCCCUGCCCCAAUUCCAUGUGCAAAAGCCAACCAGACGGGCAGCUGAAUCUUACAUCAACAUCCUCAACUGCACUUGAUGUUGGUUGAUUUGGUUAAAAGGGGAAAUACUGUAAAUUGGGUAAAACAUAAAAAGGACAAUUCCUUGGAUGCCUAGAUCCAGGUUUGGGGCAAGUAUUCUUUCGUGAGAGGAGCCCCAACAGAGAUUUAAAAUCACAAAGCAGAAAAGUAAAGCAUGGAAAUAUUGGCUGUUAGACCUUUAAAAUGUCCCCUUCUAAGUUGCUUCCUAAGUUCCCCACUUCCCUUAGCGUAGAAAGAGACCAUCCGUUAAAAAUCGUUUCCUUACAAACUCCUCAAAGGUCACAUUCAUGUGCUUUCCCAUACACCAGCAAGAAAACACAGGCAAUAUGACUUAGGUUCCAAAAUGGUACAAGUUUCUAAAGUGUUUGUGUAGAAGCACAAAGAUGCAUGGGCAUAGCUAGGAUUUUUGUUAGGGGGGCAGAACUGAUGUGAUUGGUCAAUUAGUUAAGUAUUUCUGUUGCUUUACUUGAUCCUGGGACGGCAGUUCCCCCGCUACACCCACGCAAAGAUGGCUUACUUAAGCUAUGCGGUCCAAGUUUGGAGCAUCCAGCUUAGACCUCCUUACUGGGAGGGUUCAUACGGUGGAAUGUGAGAGUGUGUGACCAUAAAGCCUGGCAGGACAGCUUACUCUAUGGCCUUAACCCCUUAAAGCAUUAAUUAAAGUUACGUAUGUAGGUUAUAUAAGGCUGGAUAUACAGUGGUACCUCGGGUUACAGACACUUCAGGUUACAGACGCUUCAGGUUACAGACGCUUCAGGUUACAGACUCUGCUAACCCAGAAAUAGUACCUUGGGUUAAGAACUUUGCUUCAGGAUGAGAACAGAAAUCAUGCAGCAGUGGCGCAGCGGCAGCGGGAGGCCCCAUUAGCUAAAGUGGUACCUCAGGUUAAGAACAGUUUCAGGUUAAGAACGGACCUCUGGAAUGAAUUAAGUUCUUAACCCAAGGUACCACUGCAUCCCACACUUGAAAGCAGCAGGCUAGCUUAGGGAGCACAGGAUACAGUGGUACACACACCACUGCCCACUGCCUGUCCCUCAGCUUCUGCUGCCUGAGGCAACUGCCUCACUCAGCCUAACUGUAGGGCUGCCACUAGCAGGCAGGAAGAAUAACCUGAUACAAGGAGAAACCUGGAAGGAGGGAGCAGAGCCCAGAAAGAGAUUCUAUACAGUAGCAGAAGCAAAGUUGAGGCGAGGGCCACAAAUAGGGCCAUCAACAGUUAAUAAAAAAGACUAUUUCAUAGUUGCAAAAUGCUCACAAAUCAUGAUGAUGAGUAUUGACAUGUGUGUGUGGCUCAGAGGAAGCUGCCGUAUGCCAAGUCUGACUGUUCAACCAUCUAGCCUAAUACUGUUUACUCUGACUUGCAGAGCCUAUCCAAGGUCUCUUUCAUGUGCAUUUCACAUUGCCUGCUAUGUACACCUUUUAACUGGAGAUACCAGGGUCCUGUGUAGAAACAUGUCUUCUCCUGCAGCCCCAGUGCUUUGGUCUCAAUAAUUACAAAUAUUCCUCGCCACCAACACCAUGCCACUUUUCUUUUCUUCUUACUCUGCUAUUCUUCUCUUUCUCAUUUUCUUCCUUUGCCUUCUCAGACCCUUAUCUCCAAGUGUGACUCAGGCCCAGUUGGGAUAAUCAAACAAAGGAGAGGAAAAAUGAAAUGGGUACAUCUGUUGUAGGGUGUUGUUUUGUUUUAAAUUCAACCAGAGCAGAAGAAAGACAGUUCCUCAGAAUGGCAAUGCUAAAUCAGUCCAUCAGACUCGAAACGGAGAUCUAAAAAUACUACAAAGUAGGAGGGAAAUGAUGGCAAAGUCGCUGCAAAAAAAGGGGGGGGAGGGGAGAGUCCAAAUAAAAACGCAACUUCCAUCUUCUGAAAGAAGAAGAGGCAACUCAAAAGUGUAACUUGGAAGUGUUGCAAUUCAGUAUGGCAAAAGAUAAGCAGGUUUUGCAUUUGAGAAAUUGCCAUAAGAUACAUUGCAAAUAUGAUCAGCCGCACUUUAUUUAGUAGGGAAAGAAUUUAUUUUCUCCACAUUAUAUGGUGCAAAAAUCAACCCUUUUCUCUUUUGGAAAGAUCACAUCGUGCCUGCCUUUGGAUUUGUUCUUUGCCCCCUUGGGGAACAUCAUCUUUCGGAAUAGCUGUUUGUUUUCUCCCCUCCUGCAUCUAGAAAAAAAAUGUAAGAUGUGGGGGGAAGGGCACACAAUUAGCAAAACUGUAGCAUAUGUGGUAGCAUGGUGCCCCCUGGUGUAUAUUUAAAAGCAUGGCAGGUGCUUAGACUCCAAAUUGCUGCCUGUCCUGCUGAUUGAAUCGAACAGCUUCCCGAAUCAAAUUCACAGGGUGAAGUGGGUUUUUUACUGGUUGAAUUCCCUCCACCGCAGAACAAUCCAAAGAGGUUUCAAUACAGUUGCCCACAUAGGUGCCAACUCUCUGGGGCCCUGGGUGCCCGAGCACCCACAAAAUUCCCCAUAGGAGGCUGGGCACCCACAAAUUUCAGGGCCAGGGCCAUGCACGCUGCGUGGCACCCACGGACCCGGGCACCCAUGGUCGCGGGGCCAAGUUGGCACUCCUGAUUGCCCAUAAAGCUGGUGCAUUUGGAACAGAUUCAAAGUCCUCCAUCCUCUAUAUUUUUCAGCUGCUACCCAUUGAACCUUCUCAGUCUCUGGGGCAUAGGAGCCAACUCCUAGGAGCCAAGGUCCCUUAGGCCCCCCAAUAAAAUAUUUGAGGGGGCUGCCACCCCCCAAAGUUGAUGAGCAUUGGCAUUCAAAAAUAAGGAGGCUGCAAAGAACCACAUCAAAAGCAAUGUUUUUAAUACACUUCCAAAUUACACAUGUCAUUUCUAUUCACCAGUCAAAGAAUCACAGCAGUCUUAAUACAGUGGUACCUUGGUUCUCGGACUUAAUCCGUUCCAGGAGUCCGUUCAACUCCUGAAACAGUUCGGCCACCAAGGUGCAGCUUCUGAUUGGCUGCAGGAGCUUCCUGCACUCAAUCGGAAGCCACAGAGGCCGUAUCGGAUGUUUGGCUUCCGAAAAAUGUUCGCAAACCAGAACACUCACUUCUGGAUUUGUGGCGUUCGGGAGCCGAUUUGUUUGGGAGGCAAGCCGUUCCAGUACCAAGGCACCACUGUAGUUGCAACACAAUGUCAUCAUCCUGAACAAAUCAAAAUCAUUUGGCUCUUCAGAUCAGCCCUCAUCAUAAUAUCAUGUGAUUAUAUAUAACCGUUUUUCAGUGUCUUUCUUUAUUAAGACUUUGACUAAUUUUCCUGUUUGUUAAAUGCCUUCCAAUGUUCCAUUUCGUCUGCAUACAAAACAAUUCAAGAUUAAUCACGAUUGCCAUGCCAGCUGAUUCUCUUUCCAUGCAUACAAUGUCCACCAUAGAAUCUGACAUUUUUCUUUUUCUUUUUAGUGUUCUGAAAUGGACGUUCACAAUGUACCGUACCUAAAAGCAGCUAGUUCUGUACUGUAAAAGACAGGUGCAGGCCCUUUUACUUUAGCUAGGCCAUAGACUCAAAAGAAAGUGGAAUAAUCAAAAUACAGUUUUAUGAAAUUAUUAUUUUCUACAAUACCACCUCAUCUGUCCUCCACUUAUCUGAAUGGUUUCUCUUCCCCCCUCCUUAAACCAGGGCUGAGGAACCUGUGGCUCUCCAGAUGUGCUGGACUACAGUUCCAACCAUCCCUAACCACUGGGCAUGCUGGCUGGCCAAGGCUGAUGGGAGCUGGAAUUCAACAACAUUUGGCUCAAGGGUAGGUGAUCCAUUUCUGGAUCUGAUGCCUCAGGCUGAAAAAGAUUCACAACCCCUGAUCUCAAGGACUACAUGUUCCCAAUCUCUGCCUUAAAUUUGAACCCCUGUGCCUACUCACAGUUUCCAAACAAACAAACAAACAACAACAACAACAAAAAUGCCCUCUAUUCUCGUGAAUUUUCUUGGGGAGGAAUAUUGUAUGAUUCAAUCCUUAGCAAAGGUCUCAAUCUGCCAUUUCGGGGUGGGGGAAAGUAUAUCUUUUACAUGUUGUGUUCCCAGCGCUGAGGGAAGAGGAUGAAGAUGUCAUAAAUGAAACAGCCCAGAGCAUUUUCCAUCAAGGAAAAAAGAUGUCCUUUGAAAUACAGAGAGCCCACAGAGAAAUCUGGUUCCAUCAGUGAAGCAUCGCCUGUCAUUUCAAAAUCUCUUCCUGACAAACACUCACACGGUUUUAAAACAAAAUAAAACUUGAGAGCUUACUUUGCCAGCUAACUUUAAAAAUAUCAUUAGAUUUCUAUUCGCUUAGACGUUCUGAUACAUUAGUGCAUUUCCAGGGGUCUGAUGGCACAGGAGGGCAAAUUCUUACGUUAUUAUCCCAAUUUAUCUUGCAGAUGGGGGCAGACUGAGAAACAGCGCAAGGCCUCCUAAUGAGUUCAUUGCUCAGCAGAGAGUUGAACCAGGGAACAUCUAUCUCACACCUCAGCACUUACAACCACUUCGCUGCACCCGCUCUAAUUGCAUACUUUUUAAAAAAAGAAAGAAAAGUAUCCAUAUAAUCCCAAGUCCUACGAUCAGGACAGGAACCCUAGAUAGUAGAAAACUAGUUUUCUGCCGUUGGUUGAUGAUAUGUUGUUGUUGUUGUCUGCCUCUUGAAACACGUCUAUCUAUAUACCUUCCUGCCUACCUCCCUGUUUGACUUUGAAUGAUUGACAUAUGCACCAGCAAAUCAAGCCCUGGCUCAGCUGUUGAUCUUGCCCCUCUUCCAAUGCACCUCCCACUGAAAACAGCAGAUGUGGGAAUGGGAUGUUGAUGGUAACUGUGGUGGAGACAAAGGGUUAAAGCUCCCUUCCUCCAUGAAACGAUCCUGAUCUGGCUUCCUUGUUUCCCCGCUGUUGCCUAUAUGUUUGGUUUGGUUUCUAACCAGCUCUGCAAUGCCAGACCUCACAAAAAAUGUCACAUCUAGUUUGGCCCCUAAGUUGCCACAUUUUAAACAGACUAUGCUCUAUGCCUUGAACAACUGCACCAGAAGGGGAACUUAAUGGGUGAAGCCUUUGCAAUUCACUUCAUCUCCAUUCUGGGGAAAACCUCACCCAGAGUUCUAGGCCCCAAAGUACAGAGAGUCAGUGCACUGCCAGGAUAAUAGGUAAAGGUAAAGGGAGCUGACCAUUAGGUCCAGUCGUGGCCAACUCUGGGGUUGCGGCACUCAUCUCGCUUUAUUGGCCGAGGGAGCCGGCGUACAGCUUCCAGGUCAUGUGGCCAGCAUGACUAAGCCACUUCUGGCAAAUCAGAGCAGUGCACGGAAGCACCGUUUACCUUCCCGCUGGAGUGGCACCUAUUUAUCUACUUGCACUUUGACGUGCUUUCGAACUGCUAGGUGGGCAGGAGCAGGGACCGAGCAGUGGGAGCUCACACCGUGGCGGGGAUUCGAACCACCAACCUUCUGACUGGCAAGUCCUAGGCUCUGUGGUUUAACCCACAGCGCCACCCGCGUCCCUAGUUUGCCAGCAAAUGGAAGAGCAAGGCCAUACCUACAAAAGAUGAUUGGCUGUGUAAACUAAGCGAGUUCAUAGAAAUGGCAAAGCUGACUGCCUGUAUCAGAAUGCAGACAAACCAAAAACUUAGACUAGAAUGGCAAUGCUUUGAAGAAUACGUGGACAAAUAUUGUUCCAGAAAGAAUAUAUGCUUAGAUGAAAGGAGUAAAGCAGAAAGAACAACAUUAUCUAGGAAUGUUAUAAAGAGAUAAAAAUCCAAAAUCUAAAGAGUGCAAUGAUUAGAUUGAACUUAAAAAGUAAGGAAAUCAUGGUGUGAUGGAGGGAAGUCGAGGGAUGUGCUGGUGGGAAGGGAUUGGGGGUGGGAAGGAUUUAUGUUUGUGUAAAUAAUAGUGUAUUUUUGUGUGCUUUUGUUUGGGUAGGAUGUACGUUUCUUUUGUUCUUCUUUCUUUUUGUAUUUUAAAAAACUCAAUAAAAAGAGAGAGAGAGAGAG
rnacentral:lncRNA from 1 species